rnacentral:rRNA from 1 species
GACGAACGCUGGCGGCGUGCUUAACACAUGCAAGUCGAACGGUGAAACGCCUUCCUUUUUGGUGGGUGUGGAUGAGUGGCGAACGGGUGAGUAACACGUGAGUAACCUGCCCCCUUCUUCUGGAUAACCGCAUGAAAGUGUGGCUAAUACGGGAUAUUCUGGGUCUGUCGCAUGAUGGGUCUGGGAAAGAUAUUGUUUCGGUGGGGGAUGGGCUCGCGGCCUAUCAGCUUGUUGGUGGGGUGAUGGCCUACCAAGGCGGUGACGGGUAGCCGGCCUGAGAGGGUGGACGGUCACACUGGGACUGAGACACGGCCCAGACUCCUACGGGAGGCAGCAGUGGGGAAUAUUGCACAAUGGGCGCAAGCCUGAUGCAGCGACGCAGCGUGAGGGAUGGAGGCCUUCGGGUUGUGAACCUCUUUCGCCAGUGAAGCAGGCCUGCCUCGUUUGUGGGUGGGUUGACGGUAGCUGGAUAAGAAGCGCCGGCUAACUACGUG